rnacentral:SRP_RNA from 1 species
GCCAGGCGUGGUGGCACGUGCCUGUAAUCCCAGCUACUGGGGAGGCUGAGGCAGGAGAAUUGCUUGAACCCAGGAGAUGGAGGUUGCAGUGAGCUAAGAUCGUGCCACUGCACUCCAGCCUGGGCUACAGAGCGAGACUCUGUCUCUA